UGAUGCUAACAUUUUCCCAAAGCAGCACUUCACAGCUUAAUGAGCUGAGACUUUUAGCAAAUAGCCCCAAGAAAAGAGAAAAAAAGACCUUAAUGCUCUGUCAGCAAAAGUAAAAAGGUUCAAGAUGAAGGAAGAAAGGGGCACAAGAGCUGGAAUCUGUGAUACUGACUCUAGAAAAUAUUUUGGCUGUAGGACUUUCUGGGCCAGUCCAACAGUGUCCAGAGAAGAAAUGACAACCCAUGACAUCCCAAUGUGCUUGGAUAUACACUUACCUUGAUUCCUAGAGGCCCAGGUAAUCCAGGUGGCCCACGGAGCCCCUGAAGAAACGAAUGAUACAAGGACAACGAUGAGACCACAGAUGAGCGUUUGCCCAUCCACCCCAAGCCACGCUGUGUGCAACCUACGCUGUGUGCCCAAGUAGGACAAGGGUCUCACUGUGGCCUGCUUUCUGCAGAAGAAAGGAUCAUUUUUGAGCUACGAGUCUCAUGUUUGACUUCUGCGUCUACCCCCUACUGCCUCUCUGUGACUCUGAGCAAACCCCUGUCUCCCUUAGCUUGCUUUCCCAUUCAAGAUCUUCUACAGGCUUCCCACAAGUCCAGGCAGGACCAGGCCUCCAAGUAGAGCUCACAGAUUCCAAAGCCUGGUGUCUUUCUUGUUUACCAUGAUCUCAAGACCUGGGAGGGCCAAAGAGAAAAGCCUUCAACAUCAGGUUGAAGGGUUGUACUUGAUGCAGAUGCAUGGCCAGAUUUAAAAAAAAAAAAAUCACAAUUCUACAUGUGGAUGUAUUGGUGGAAAGCCAGUGUGAGGGAA